AUGGACUCUAACCCAGUUCAGAUUUUGGAUCGGAGGAUGAUGAAGAGAGGAGACGCACCAGUGGUUCAGGUGCAGGUGGCAUGGAACACAACUCCUCCGUCGACAACCUGGGAAGACUAUGAAGUUCUUCGACGUCGCUAUCCACAGUCACCAAUCUGGGAAGACAGUAACUCCGAAGAAGGGGUCGUUUCUCAAGGCGGGGAGAAUGUCACCCCGGUGCUGCAUACCACCUAUGCUGAAAGAAAUGAACUAAUUCCCUCACCUACCCUCUCCUCUGCUCAUCCCCUUCUCCAAGCUUCUCCCCCUCCCCUCUCUCGAUCCGAUCCAGCCUACUCUGGUCCCCCCUCAACCAGAUCGGGGCGUUACACAGCCGCAGCUCACUCUCACCCGCUCUCCAUGACUCCUUCAGCCGCUGCCGCAUCUAAUCCUCGCCCUCGCAUGCUUUACCCAAAACAUGGCAAGAAAAGGGCCAAGUUGGAUGUAACUCCAGUGAAGAGGAGAUGGAGAAUCGAACGGGAGAAGGAGGGCCACGGUGGUGGUCGAGAGCAAGAGAGGAGUAGAGAUGUGAAUGUCUCGCACCAGCCGGAGACCCUCUCCCGUCCGCUGUCGCACCUCCCUCUCCUCUUUCCUCUCGCUUUCUCCCUCCUCUCUUGCUUUCUCUCUCCUGCAGGGACCGGUCCAUGGCGAAUCGAGCGUCCCCGCCAUCGCCUUUUGCCGGAGAUGCUCGUCGCCGCUGCCAAAGAUGCCUGCCGCCACGCCCGCACGCCUCGGAUCCGGCCAGAUCCCCUACUCUUCCACCCCAACAAGAAGACCCGACGGCGGCUGAUGAGGGAGGAGGGAGUGGUGCUGCGCUGCACUGUGGGGGUCGAGGGGAAAGAGAGCUAG
rnacentral:rRNA from 1 species